AUUGAACGCUGGCGGCAUGCCUUACACAUGCAAGUCGAACGGCAGCGGGCCUUCGGGUGCCGGCGAGUGGCGAACGGGUGAGUAAUGCAUCGGAACGUGCCAUUGAGUGGGGGAUAACGUAGCGAAAGUUACGCUAAUACCGCAUAUCGUGCUUCGGCAUGAAAGCUUCUGAGGCAACUCGGGGGGCGCCAGUUGAGCAGCCUGCGUCCCAUUAUUUAGUCCUAGUUGGUAGGGUAAUGGCCUACCAAGGGUACGAUGGGUAGCUGGUCUGAGAGGAUGAUCAGCCACACUGGAACUGAGACACGGUCCAGACUCCUACGGGAGGCAGCAGUGGGGAAUAUUGCGCAAUGGGGGAACCCUGACGCAGCCACGCCGCGUGAGUGAUGAAGGCCUUCGGGUUGUAAGCUCUGUCGGGAGGGACGGAAGGGGGAACCCUAGGACGGUACCUCGCAAG
rnacentral:rRNA from 1 species